UUGUACUUGCGAGUCAUUUUGUGUUGUUGGUUUAUCGUCUGUAAGUGGACUUCUUACUGGAAAAGAUGACAACUUUUGAAUUUUAUAACGUUUUGGAAGAAUAUUUGUCGACUGAAAAAUUUAUCUCAAUUCGAAUGAAGAGGGAGCAAAAUGAAAUGCGACGUAUGUCUGUAAACUUUAUAAUGGAUACGUAUAGCUUUUUGAUGCCCUGUGGUAACCAGCCUUUCAAGUGGCUGAACAGAUGCCAGUGUACCCGAAUUCUGAGGCACAGCUGGAUGUCCUUUUCUUCUGCUUUUAAGAUUCCCAAUUUGAGAUGAUGUGCAGUUCAUGUUAGAUUUGCUAUUUCUAGAGUUACAGUGAAGUAGAAGAGUCCGGUCGUGUUUUGGGGCAGCAGUUUAACAAGAAGGACGAAGAGAUGUGUGCCAUGUUGAAGUAGCGGCUGCCCCUCCUGUCUGGCACUUCUAGAAUCCUCCAACUCAAUCCCUGC